AAUAGCUGCCGAAGACAGCAGGUGCCGUUAGGCAUAAGGUUAAAACGCCUGCCGAGGAAAGAUUCAUUCUUACAAAGUUUAGGAUUGAUAAAACCUCUCUGUCUUGUGCGGAGAGGUCUUUUUGU
rnacentral:sRNA from 1 species